rnacentral:tRNA from 1 species
CGUUAAGAAGCUAAACUGGGUCUAGCAUUAGCCUUUUAAGCUAAAAAUUGGUGACUCCCAACCACCCUUAAUGA